AAAGGAAUUGACGGGGCCCGCACAAGCGGUGGAGCAUGUGGUUUAAUUCGAUGCAACGCGAAGAACCUUACCUGGUCUUGACAUCCCGGAGACCCUUAGGAAACUAGGGGUGCUUCCAUCUGGAAGAAUCUGGAGACAGGUGCUGCAUGGCUGUCGUCAGCUCGUGUCGUGAGAUGUUGGGUUAAGUCCCGCAACGAGCGCAACCCUUGCCUUUAGUUGCCAGCAGUUCGGCUGGGCACUCUAAAGGGACUGCCGGUGUUAAACCGGAGGAAGGUGGGGAUGACGUCAAGUCCUCAUGGCCUUUAUGACCAGGGCUACACACGUACUACAAUGGCCGAUACAAAGGGCAGCGACACUGCGAGGUGAAGCCAAUCCCGUAAAAUCGGUCUCAGUCCGGAUUGGAGUCUGCAACUCGACUCCAUGAAGUUGGAAUCGCUAGUAAUCGUGGAUCAGCAUGCCACGGUGAAUACGUUCCCGGGCCUU
rnacentral:rRNA from 1 species